AGAGUUUGAUCCUGGCUCAGGAUAAACGCUGGCGGCGCACAUAAGACAUGCAAGUCGAACGGAAGUCGUUACGAAACGGAUUGAAGAUUUAUCAGAUUGAAGUUUUGUAACAAUGGCUUUAGUGGCGGACUGGUGAGUAACACGUAAGCAACCUGCCUAUUAGAGGGGAAUAACAAUGAGAAAUCAUUGCUAAUACCGCAUAAGCUUGUAGCAACGCAUGUUGUAGCAAGAAAAGGAGAAAUCCGCUAAUAGAUGGGCUUGCGGCUGAUUAGCUAGUUGGUAGGGUAAAGGCUUACCAAGGCAACGAUCAGUAGCCGGGCUGAGAGGCUCUGCGGCCACAUUGGGACUGAGAUACGGCCCAGACUCCUACGGGAGGCAGCAGUCGGGAAUAUUGCGCAAUGGAGGAAACUCUGACGCAGUGACGCCGCGUAUAGGAAGAAGGUUUUAGGAUUGUAAACUAUUUUAGACAGGGAAGAAUAAAUGACAGUACCUGUAGAAUAAGCUCCGGCUAACUACGUGCCAGCAGCCGCGGUAAUACGUAGGGAGCAAGCGUUAUCCGGAAUUAUUGGGUGUAAAGAGUGCGUAGACGGGAAUACAAGUUGGUUGUGAAAUCCCUCGGCUCAACCGAGGAACUGCAACCAAAACUAUAUUUCUUGAGUGCAGGAGAGGAAAGCGGAAUUCCUAGUGUAGCGGUGAAAUGCGUAGAUAUUAGGAGGAACACCAGUGGCGAAGGCGGCUUUCUGGACUGUAACUGACGUUGAGGCACGAAAGUGUGGGGAGCAAACAGGAUUAGAUACCCU
rnacentral:rRNA from 1 species